rnacentral:SRP_RNA from 1 species
ACUGGUCAUGGUGGCUUGUGCCUGUAGUUCCAGCUGCUUGGGAGGCAGAGUUAGGAAGGUUGCUUGAGUUCAGGAGUUCUGGGCUGUAGUGCACUAUGCCAAGUGGGUGUCUGUACCAAGUUCAGCAUCAAUAUGGUGACCUCACAGGAGUGGGGAACCACCAGGUUGCCUAAGGAGGGGUGAAUCAGCCCAGAUUGGAAAUAGAGCAGAUCAGAAUUCCCAUGCUGAUCAGUAGUGGGAUGGCAGCUGUGAAUAGCCACUGCACUCCGGCCUGUGCAAUGUGGUAAGACCCUGUCUCU